rnacentral:rRNA from 1 species
AUGAUUCAGAAGUGUCUACUCACUCAAAUCAGUCGGAAUGUGGAAGCGUAUAUGGAUGACAUCGUCGUCAAGUCACGAAAAGGUUCCGACCUGCUCGCUGACCUCGCCGAAACAUUUGCCAACCUCAGAAGGUAUGAUAUCAGGCUCAAUCCAUCGAAGUGCACAUUUGGUGUUCCUGGUGGCAAGUUACUCGGUUUUCUCGUUUCCGAACGAGGAAUCGACGCUAAUCCAGAGAAGAUUGGCACUAUUCUCCAAAUGAAACGCCCUGUGCGAGUGCACGAUGUCCAGAAGCUUACUGGAUGCUUGGCCGCAUUAAGUCGAUUCAUCUCACGACUCGGUGAAAAGGCAUUGCCUCUUUACCGACUGAUGAAGCAGGCAGACAAGUUUGAGUGGACUCCAGAAGCUGAUGCAGCGUUUGCCGAGCUAAAAGCUCUGCUCUCCACCCAGUCGGUGCUUGCUGCUCCAAUCAGCAAAGAGCCUCUGUUGCUCUAUAUCGCAGCCACAUGA